rnacentral:rRNA from 1 species
AAGAAAGUAGAAAAGGGCGCAAGGUGGAUGCCUUGGCUCACGGAGGCGAUGAAGGACGUGAUAAGCUGCGAUAAGCCUCGGGUAGAUGCAAAUAAUCUUUGAUCCGAGGAUUUCCGAAUGGGACAACCCGUCUGUCUGAAGGACAGUCACUAUCUUAAGAUAGAGCUAACGCAGGGAACUGAAACAUCUUAGUACCUGCAGGAAGAGAAAAUAAAUUAAUGAUUCCCCUAGUAGUGGCGAGCGAACGGGGAAGAGCCCAAACCAUGAUUGUGGCAACGCAACCAUGGGGUUGUAGGACCACGCUGUGGCACGAUGCUUGUGAGAAGAACGUUCUGGAAAGAACGACCAUAGAGGGUGAGAGUCCCGUAUUCGAAGCACGCUGAAGCCUAGUGGUAUCCUGAGUAACGCGGAACACGAGGAAUUCUGCGCGAAUCCGCCGGGACCAUCCGGUAAGGCUAAAUACUCCCGUGAGACCGAUAGCGAACCAGUACUGUGAAGGAAAGGUGAAAAGAACCCCGAGCAGGGGAGUGAAAGAGAUCCUGAAACCUUGCGCCUACAAGCGGUCGGAGCUGCUUAUAGCAGUGACGGCGUGCCUUUUGCAUAAUGAACCUACGAGUUACCAUCUCUGGCGAGGUUAAGCGGGACGACCCGCGCAACCGCAGUGAAAGCGAGCCUGAACAGGGCGUCGAGUCAGAGGGGGUAGACGCGAAACCAAGUGAUCUA